GCGCCCCGCCGCGGGCCGCGGGCUGCGGGGAGCCAGGCGGUGGGUGGCGCAGCGCCCGCCGCGGGCGUCCGGCCCCACCUACGUGACCCGGGGCGCCGCCAGUGCGCACAGGCGUUUCUGGGCGCUUAUAAGGCGCGGAGCACAUCCGCCGCCCCGCUGCCGGCCCGUCUCCGCUCCGCCAGGUCCGCAGCCGCUGCCAUGGCGAACAUGAGUUUCUUCCAGCUGCUGAGGGCGAAGAAAGAACUUAUUCCCCUAGUUGGAGUAGUGUCUUUUGCGGCACUUGGGGCUAUCUCUGCUUCCAUCUAUUCCCUCUUCAGCAAAUCCGAUGUGAUCUAUUAACAAUCCAUCAGAAAUGGAAGCCUAUAGAAGAGCUGGAAAAGGUCAAAAAGCUUACGAAGUGACAAGUUUCAGUUGCCUCAAAAAG
rnacentral:lncRNA from 1 species